rnacentral:rRNA from 1 species
GCUAAACGCGAAGAACCUUACCUGGCCGGGGAGAGUACAGGUGCUGCAUGGCUGUCGUCAGCUCGUGUCGUGAGAUGUUGGGUUAAGUCCCGCAACGAGCGCAACCCUUAUCGUAUGUUGCCAGCAUUUAGUUGGGCACUCAUGCGAGACUGCCGGUGACAAGCCGGAGGAAGGUGGGGAUGACGUCAAGUCAUCAUGGCCUUUAUGACCAGGGCUACACACGUGCUACAAUGGCAGGUACAGAGGGAAGCCAACCAGCAAUGGGGAGCCAAUCCCAGAAAGCCUGUCUUAGUCCGGAUCGCAGUCUGCAACUCGACUGCGUGAAGUCGGAAUCGCUAGUAAUCGCGAAUCAGAAUGUCGCGGUGAAUACGUUCCCGGGUCUUGUACACACCG